rnacentral:rRNA from 1 species
GACGAACGCUGGCGGCGUGCUUAACACAUGCAAGUCGAACGGAAAGGCCCUGCUUUUGUGGGGUUCUCGAGUGGCGAACGGGGGAGUAACACGUGAGUAACCUGCCCUUGACUUUGGGAGAACUUCAGGAAACUGGGGCUAAUACCGGAUAGGAUCUCCUGCUGCAUGGUGGGGGUUGGAAAGUUUCGGCGUUUGGGGCUGGACUCGCGGCUUAUCAGCUUGUUUGUGGGGUAGGGGCUUACCAAGGCUUUGACGGGUAGCCUGCCUGAGAGGGGGACCGGGCACAUGAGGCCUGCGAUAGGCACCAGAAGGGUACGGGAGGCAGCAGGGGGAAAUCUUACACAAUGGCCGGAAGCGAGAUGCAGCAACGUCGGGUGCGGAAUGCCGGCUUUCGGGUUGUAAACCGGUUUCGCAGGUGACGAGGCGUGAGUGACGGUACUGGGUAAAGAAGCACCGGCUAACUACGUG